GAAGGUGAUCGCAGAUGACAGUGCAGAGUGGGAGGGUAAGGUCUUCGUCUCAGAGCCCUUUUCCCGUCUACCUCCUCUGGCAACUACCUCCUGUAUCAUAGAGGACAGAGGUAACGCGAGUCCUUUAGCCAUCCGCUCUGCGUCGUACUGUAUGCCCUGUGAUGCUCAGACUGCUCUGCUCAGCCGUCUGCCGCUGGGAGCUCUGGUCACCCCUCUAGCCAAGCAAAAUGAUGGAGAGCCCCUGCCUGUGUGCAAAGAGCCAGAGUGUGUUUCAAAUUGUGGUUGUUGCGGAGCCUCCAUGUGCCCGGCGAUGGGCUGGCAGGACUGUGGUCAGAGGUUUUACUGCCCCUUCUGCGGGAAACUCA